rnacentral:lncRNA from 1 species
CUCACAGACCGGUAUUUUCACUUGCUUAAGUCAGAGAGUCAUGCAGGAGCCAGAAUGAUGCGACUGCUUGCCUGAGUGGAAUAUUACAUUGAUCCUCCCAUACGACCAUGACUACGCUGGGAGAGACAAACCUUCAAGUGAAUAAAGUCGUAUCUCCUGAUACUCCUGAGGGAGUGCUGGGGCAGCCAGGUUCAGACUAAGAAAAGCACUACCAUGCAGCAAGCAAGAUUAAUCUUAAGGUCAUGCCUCCCUGAUCUGCUGAAUACAUUGGCCAAUUUUAACCGUAUGGGACAAAAGAGUGAAAGUUGGGACAAAAGAGUGAAAGUUUCAAAGACAACCAAGAUCCUAUAGAUUCCA